UACGGGAGGGGGCUAGCGUUGUUCGGAAUUACUGGGCGUAAAGCGCACGUAGGCGGCUUUGUAAGUUAGAGGUGAAAGCCCAGGGCUUAACCCUGGAAUUGCCUUUAAGACUGCAUCGCUAGAAUCGUGGAGAGGUGAGUGGAAUUCCGAGUGUAGAGGUGAAAUUCGUAGAUAUUCGGAAGAACACCAGUGGCGAAGGCGGCCCGCUGGACAUGUAUUGACGCUGAGGUGCGAAAGCGUGGGGAGCAAACAGG
rnacentral:rRNA from 1 species